rnacentral:rRNA from 1 species
GCAUAUCAUUAAGCGGAGGAAAAGAAACUAACAAGGAUUCCCUUAGUAACGGCGAGUGAACCGGGAAAAGCUCAAAUUUGUAAUCUGGCUGUCUUCGAUAGUCCGAGUUGUAAUCUAUAGACGUGUUUUCCGUGCUGGACCGUAUCUAAGUCCCUUGGAACAGGGUAUCAAAGAGGGUGACAAUCCCGUGCUUGAUACGACCACCAGUGCUCUGUGAUACACGUUUUACGAGUCGAGUUGUUUGGGAAUGCAGCUCAAAAUGGGUGGUAAAUUCCAUCUAAAGCUAAAUAUUGGCGAGAGACCGAUAGCGAACAAGUACCGUGAGGGAAAGAUGAAAAGCACUUUGGAAAGAGAGUUAAACAGUACGUGAAAUUGUUGAAAGGGAAACGAUUGAAGUCAGUCGUGUUCUUCAGAUUCAGCUGGUUCUUCCAGUCUACUUCUGUGGAACGGGUCAACAUCAGUUUUGUCCGGUGGAUAAAGGUAGUAGGAAUGUGACUCCCCCGGGAGUGUUAUAGCCUAUUAUUGCAUACACUGGGUGAGACUGAGGACUGCAGCUCGCCUUUUGGCCGGUCUUCGGACACGUUCGAGCUUAGGAUGUUGACAUAAUGGCUUUAAACGACCCGUCUUGAAACACGGACC